CCAACGUUCCUGAGAAAACCAGAAGUAACAGCACCUUUGCGAGUUUUGAGAAUACUACAAUAUGGUUUUUGGGAACGAUCAACUGUAUCGUUGUGGCUCUUGUAUUCUCUAAAGGAAAACCAUUUAGGCAGCCCACCUAUACAAACUAUAUAUUUGUCCUUGUGCUGAUUUUACAGAUGGGCGUAUGUCUUUUCAUUCUAUUUGCGGAUAUCCCAGAGUUGCAUAGGCGUUUGGACCUGCUGUGCACUCCCGUCCUGUGGAGAGUCUACAUUCUCAUCAUGGUCAGCUCCAACUUCGUUGUGUCCCUUGCUGUGGAGAAGGCCAUUAUUGAAAACCGUGCUCUAUGGACAGCGGUCAAGAGAUGUUUUGGUUAUCAUUCAAAAAGCCAGUAUCGGGUAUGGCAGAGGAACCUGGCGACUGAUUCAAGCUGGCCCCCCCUAAACCAAACCUCCUACUCUGAUAUGCAGGGGGUGUCCUACAGCAACCCUGUGUUUGAGAGCAACGAGGAGCAACUCUGAAGGAAAUCGAUAUCUAAGCACUCGUCAAACUGAAGAGAAAAAGAGCCCGCUUCAGAGACUCUCAACGCCAUCAGGUGGAGAUGGGGACUAAACUCCCAGCUCUGGUGACAAAGCUAAAUUGGCUCAAGCGGAGUCUAUGGAGAACAAUGUCCCUAGAAGGUGACUUUCCUCUUGGCUUCUGAUGCACUGAUGACACCCAUUGAACUAAGAAUGAAGCAAGGGUUGCCAUGAGCCAAAAGAUGGGCAGGUAUCAGGAGGAGAGCAUAUCUUCUUAGAAUAAUUCUUUCUCAAAAAAUAAAAAUGAAAUGAGGGAAGGCC
rnacentral:lncRNA from 1 species